rnacentral:rRNA from 1 species
AGGGUUCGAUUCUGGCUCAGAACGAACGCUGGCGGCAGGCUUAACACAUGCAAGUCGAACGCACCGCAAGGUGAGUGGCAGACGGGUGAGUAACGCGUGGGCACCUUCCCUUUGGUACGGAAUAACUUCGGGAAACCGAAGCUAAUACCGUAUAUCUCCUCCGGGAGAAAGAUUUAUCGCCAAAGGAUGGGCCCGCGUUGGAUUAGCUAGUUGGUAGGGUAAUGGCCUACCAAGGCGACGAUCCAUAGCUGGUCUGAGAGGAUGAUCAGCCACACUGGGACUGAGACACGGCCCAGACUCCUACGGGAGGCAGCAGUGGGGAAUAUUGGACAAUGGGCGCAAGCCUGAUCCAGCCAUGCCGCGUGAGUGAAGAAGGCCUUAGGGUUGUAAAGCUCUUUUGGCGGGGACGAUAAUGACGGUACCCGCAGAAUAAGCCCCGGCUAACUUCGUGCCAGCCGCAGC